rnacentral:rRNA from 1 species
GAUGAACGCUGGCGGCGUGCCUAAUACAUGCAAGUCGAGCGAACAGAUGAGGAGCUUGCUCCUCUGACGUUAGCGGCGGACGGGUGAGUAACACGUGGAUAACCUACCUAUAAGACUGGGAUAACUUCGGGAAACCGGAGCUAAUACCGGAUAAUAUAUUGAACCGCAUGGUUCAAUAGUGAAAGACGGUUUUGCUGUCACUUAUAGAUGGAUCCGCGCCGCUUUAGCUAGUUGGUAAGGUAACGGCUUACCAAGGCAACGAUGCGUAGCCGACCUGAGAGGGUGAUCGGCCACACUGGAACUGAGACACGGUCCAGACUCCUACGGGAGGCAGCAGUAGGGAAUUUUCCGCAAUGGGCGAAAGCCUGACGGAGCAACGCCGCGUGAGUGAUGAAGGUCUUCGGAUCGUAAAACUCUGUUAUUAGGGAAGAACAAAUGUGUAAGUAACUAUGCACGUCUUGACGGUACCUAAUCAGAAAGCCACGGCUAACUACGUG